UGGGGCGUAGCCAAGCGGUAAGGCAGCGGGUUUUGAUCCCGUCAUGCGAAGGUUCGAAUCCUUCCGCCCCAGCCA
rnacentral:tRNA from 10 species